UGCAGUCGACGCCCCGCAAGGGGAGUGGCAGACGGGUGAGUAACACGUGGGAACGUACCCUUUUCUACGGAAUAACCCAGGGAAACUUGGACUAAUACCGUAUGUGCCCUUCGGGGGAAAGAUUUAUCGGAAAAGGAUCGGCCCGCGUUGGAUUAGCUAGUUGGUGGGGUAAAGGCCUACCAAGGCGACGAUCCAUAGCUGGUCUGAGAGGAUGAUCAGCCACAUUGGGACUGAGACACGGCCCAAACUCCUACGGGAGGCAGCAGUGGGGAAUAUUGGACAAUGGGCGCAAGCCUGAUCCAGCCAUGCCGCGUGAGUGAUGAAGGCCUUAGGGUUGUAAAGCUCUUUCACCGGAGAAGAUAAUGACGGUAUCCGGAGAAGAAGCCCCGGCUAACUUCGUGCCAGCAGCCGCGGUAAUACGAAGGGGGCUAGCGUUGUUCGGAUUUACUGGGCGUAAAGCGCACGUA
rnacentral:rRNA from 1 species